CGUUUUGCGACAGACUAGUUUGACAGAAUGCAUCACAUAAGACAUAAUAUAUAUCAAUAUAUACAUCAAUUAGAAGCAAAUUAAUCAUUAAAUUCACACUCCAAUGAAACAUUUUUAUGAAGUUUAUACGAUAUCAAAAGUAUGGUGACAAGUUAAUAUCUGUGAAAUUGGUUUUGAUAGUUGAAGACACAUGUAACCUGAACAAAUAAACAGUACACUGGGGAAUUGUGAAGAAUGAUUUAGGACAAGAUAGAUUGCGUACAUUAGCGGUGUGAAUUAUAAUAUACAGCCGAUAAGCUAAAGAAGAAGAAAAAUAAAUACUUAUGAAAUUUGGUUGAAAAUGAUAGAAUAUAGAAAUAUACAUUACACCACUAAAGAACAAGACAAUCUUUUGAGCCCAUUGGCGUCAUUCGCCCCUUAAAACUACUCAAACCACUAAACCAGUAGACAUUUUAUAAAGAAUUGUUGUUGAAAUGUCAAUAACACAUUAUAUAAAAUGUGGUUUGAGUACAUGUUGACUACCUGUACGCAGGAAAUAGACAUUUAACAUUCAACUUCGGAAUUACUCAAAGUCGGAAAAGCGUAAUAAUUAUAACACAAUUACAAAAGAAAUCGUAAAUUUAAAUGUAAUGAAAAAA